rnacentral:rRNA from 1 species
UACGUAGGGUGCGAGCGUGUCCGGAAUUAUUGGGCGUAAAGGGCUCGUAGGCGGUUUGUCGCGUCGGGAGUGAAAACACCGGGCUUAACUCGGUGCUUGCUUUCGAUACGGGGCAGACUAGAGGUAUGCAGGGGAGAACGGAAUUCCUGGUGUAGCGGUGAAAUGCGCAGAUAUCAGGAGGAACACCGGUGGCGAAGGCGGUGAUCUGGGCCGACACUGACGCUGGUAGAGCGAAAGCGUGGGGAGCGAACAGG